rnacentral:rRNA from 1 species
UACGUAGGGUGCAAGCGUUGUCCGGAAUUAUUGGGCGUAAAGAGCUCGUAGGCGGUUUGUCGCGUCUGCUGUGAAAACUCGGGGCUUAACUCCGGGCCUGCAGUGGGUACGGGCAGACUAGAGUGCGGUAGGGGAGACUGGAAUUCCUGGUGUAGCGGUGAAAUGCGCAGAUAUCAGGAGGAACACCGGUGGCGAAGGCGGGUCUCUGGACAGUUCCUGACGCUGAGGCACGAAGGCCAGGGGAGCAAACGGG